rnacentral:tRNA from 1 species
UAUACCACACCGGCAGAACGGAUUACACUGAUGAAGUAAAAUAUUAUAAUUUUUUAUAUGGUAUAA